ensembl:lncRNA
AUGUCAAUGUCUGACAACAUCAAGAAACAAUCUGGGAUGGAGAAUGAGGCGAAGAAAAAGGAAAAUUCCAGCCUUGACCAGCUUGAAACUGAGAUCAGUAAACUCAGCAUAAAGGACUCACCUGACAGAAAAGAUAUCAGAGUCAAAUUUUUGAUCAAUGUUGCAGUGGGAGUGACACCUGAAAUGAGCACAAAUGCUGAAUCACAUUGUCAGAAGUUUCUUGAUCUUCUGAAAAGUCAAGCCUUCACGGAAGAGGACGGGUUACGUUAUGAGGACAUUGCUGUCGUUUUUUGCCUUAAUGGAAAAGAAUCAGAUGAAGAAAUUAUAAAAACUGAGUUGGGAAAAACUGUUGAAAGUGAAAUCACUUUUAAAAAAUGGGGCUUUAAAUGGCCAGAAAAUAUGGAAAUCCCAUAUCGACUUAUAAGAGAGGAAAAUAAACAAUCUAAGCACACCAAGGAAUUUGUAAGAAAUUUCAGGGAGAACAACCCUGAUGUUCCAAUCUACUUCUGCUUUUUUGAUGCAGACACAGUUGAUUUUAAUGAGGUGUUGAGUUCUUACAUAGAUGUAAUCAGUGAGCACAACUACCCAACAGUGAUGUCAACUGGUUUUCUGUUCCCUGAAGACAGUAAGUUCAGAAUACAGAGUGACCAUGACCGAGAAGUGCGCAUAAUAACAGCUGAGCACUUUCCUCUGGGCACUUACUACCCAGAGCCUAACUUCUGUGUGCUUCUACCUGAUGGACGUGACACUCUUCCUGAGUGUUUUAAUGAUGCAGAAGAGACACAAAUGAACAUGGAAUCUCCUGUUUUGAUAAGACAAGUAAAACAACGCAAGGGUUUCUCUGCUGUGUUUGCAAAAAAAAAAACAAUUAUUACACGUGAUUCAAGACAAAAACAUAGUCAUACCAAACCACGGACCUGGGCAAUUAGCGCUUAUACACACAGAGAGCUUAUAAUCACUAGUAGGUGUAAAGAAGAAUAUAUAAGAGACAGGACUAAUGCAUGUGGUAUAUAUUACUUUGCUAUAUCUUUGUUAGGGACUCUUUUAAAGUCAGAAAAGAGGGCACAAGAGAUAGAAAUGGGUGAAUAUUUUGCAGGUGAUGGUGCAGAUAAAGUAAUUCAGGCAGCUAAAGCUGUUCGAGGAUAUCUAAGCCAAAUAAAUGCAGAACAGAAUGAUGCCAGAGGUUUGGAAGAUCCACGAGAGCAAGAAGAGACAGAAGAGCAAGAAGAGCAAGAAGAGUCAGAAGAGCUAGAAGAUCCAGAAGAGCAAGAAGAGUCAGAAGAGCAAGAAGAGACAGAAGAGCAAGAAGAGACAGAAGAGUCAGAAGAACUAGAAGAGACAGAAGAGCUAGAAGAGCUAUCCUAGGUACUAUCAAAAGUCCAGCAUUUUGUGACCUUAGGGAGCGUGAUGGGUUGUAGCGUGGUAGAAGACUAGUUAGGUACGCAGGAGCUAAGCCAUUAAGGGCCUUAUAAGUAUGUAAUAAUAUUUUGUAACUGAUACGGAACUGAACAGGUAGCUGGUGCAGAGACUGUAAAAUUGGGGUAAUAUGAUCAUAUUUUCUUGACCUGGUAAGGACUCUAGCCACUGCAUUUUGGACUACCUGUAGCUUGUUUAUUGAGGAUGCAGGACAACCACCUAGCAGUGCAUUACAAUAGUCCAGUCUAGAGGUCAUGAAUGCAUGAACUAUCUUUUCUGCAUCAGAAACAGGUAACAUGUUUAGUAGCUUGGGAAUGUUUCUAAGAUGGAAGAAUGGUGUUUUUGUAACAUGGGAAAUAUGAUUUUCAAAAGACAAGUUACUGUCUAAUAUAACACCCAGAUUUUUGACAGUAGAGGAAGUAACAGUACAUCCGUCUAAUUGCAAAUUGUAAUCUACGAGAUUCUGUGUAAUGUUUUUUGGUCCAGUAAGUAAUAUCUCUGUCUUAUCUGAAUUUAAUAGGAGAAAAUUAUUGGUCAUCCAAUCUUUUACAUUUUUAACACACUCUGUUAGCUUAGAUAAUUUAGAAGUUUCACCUGGUCUUGUUGAGAUAUAUAGUUGAGUAUCAUCAGCAUAACAGUGGAAACUAAUCCUGUAUUUUCUAAUGAUAUUACCAAGGGGCAACAUGUUUAUUGAAAAUAGCAGAGGACCUAGGACAGAUCCUUGUGGCACUCCAUAUUUUACUGGUGAUAAAUGAGAUGACUCCCCAUUUAAAUAAACAAAGUGGUAGCGAUCGGACAGGUAGGAUCUAAACCAUCUUAAAGCCUGCCCUUGGAUACCUGUAUAGUUUUGUAAUCUAUCUAUGAGUAUGUCGUGAUCUAUGGUGUCGAACGCAGCACUAAGAUCAAGUAAAACUAGCAAUGAGAUGCAGCCUUGGUCUGAUGCAAGAAGAAAGUCAUUUGUAAUUUUAACAAGUGCAGUUUCUGUGCUAUGAUGGGGCCUGAAACCCGUCUGAAAUUCUUCAUAGAGAUAAUUUUUUGCAGGUAGGAGCACAAUUGAGCAGACACAACUUUUUCUAAAAUUUUAGACAUAAAUGGAAGAUUUGAAAUGGGUCUGUAAUUUGCCAGUUCACUAGGAUCUAGUUGUGGUUUCUUAAUAAGAGGCUUAAUAACCGCCAGCUUGAAUGGUUUUGGGACGUGACCUAAAGAUAACGACGAGUUAAUAAUAUUGAGAAGCGUUUUUUCUGCUACAGGUAACAACUCUUUCAGUAAUUUAGUGGGUACAGGAUCUAAUAUACAAGUUGUUGGUUUAGAUGCAAUGAUAAGUUUAUUUAGCUCUUCCUGUCCUAUAGUUGUAAAGCACUGCAGUUUAUCUUUGGGUGCGAUGGAUAAAACUAAAGUAUUAGACGCUGUAGAAUCUACAUUUGUUAUUGUAUUUCUGAUGUUAUCUAUUUUAUCAGUGAAGAAAUUCAUAAAGUCAUUACUAUUUAACUGUGAGGGAAUAUUUAGAUUGGGUGGCGUCUGGUUAUUUGUUAAUCUAGCCACUGUGCUAAAUAAAAACCUUGGAUUGUUUUGGUUGUUUUCUAUGAGUUUGUGGAUAUGCUCAGCCCUGGCAGUUUUUAGAGCCUGUCUAUAGCUGGACAUACUGUUUUUCCACGCAAUUCUGAAAACUUCCAAGUUAGUUUUUCUCCAUUUGCGCUCAAGACUACGAGUUUCUUUCUUUAGAGCGUGGGUAUUACUGUUGUACCAUGGCACAGUACAUUUUUCUCUAACCUUUUUUUCAAUUUGAUGGGGGCAACAGCCUCUAAUGUAUUAGAGAAGAUAUUGCCCAUGUUGCCAGUCAUUUUGUCUAGUUCAUGUGUAUUUAUGGGUACACAGAGCAGUUGAGAUAAAUCAGGCAGGUUAUUUGCGAAUCUGUCUUUGGUGGCUGGAACAAUAGUUCUGCCCGGACGAUAACGCAAAGCUAUAUAGUUAUUAUCAUCAAUAAGCAGAAUGCACGAUUCAAGGAAAUGGUCAGUAACAUCAUCACUUUGAGGUACGAUAUCUAUGUCAGUAAGAUCGAUUCCAUGCGAUAUAAUUAAAUCUAGCGUAUGAUUAAAACGAUGAGUGGGCCCGGUGACAUUUUGCUUUACUCCAAAACAGUUUAAUAAGUCAGUAAACGCAAGUCCUAAUGCAUCAUUUGUAUUAUCAACGUGAAUGUUAAAAUCUCCGAAAAUUAGCGCUUUAUCAGCGGUAACCAACAGGUCUGAGAGGAAAUCUCCAAAUUCUUUUAGGAAUUCUGUAUAAGGCCCUGGUGGUCUAUACACAGUAGCCAGUGGAAGAGAUACAAUAGAUUUCUUUUGCAUAUCUGACAGUGUAACAUUUAGCAGAAGUAUUUCGAAUGAUUUAAACCUGUAUCCUGUUUUCUGGGUAACAUUGAGAAUAUCACUUUAUAUUGUUGCAACACCUCCCCCACGACCAGUCUGACGGGGCUCAUGAUUAUAACAGUAAUUUGGUGGAGUAGACUUAUUUAGACCAAUAUAAUCAUUUGGUUUUAGCCAGGUUUCAGUCAAGCAGAGUACAUCAAAACUAUUAUCUGUGAUCAUUUCAUUUACAAUAACUGCUUUGGGUGUGAGUGAUCUAAUGUUUAUUAGCCCAAACUCUAGAAUUAUCAAUUAAUUAUUAUCAAUUAGUUUGUUGCUUGAAAAAAAAAUUAUAUUGUCAGAAUACACAACACUUUCUGAAUGGCCAAAUAUGUGCAAUACUUUGAGUGUCAGGCAUUUUGGGGAGUAGUGGAUUAUAUAUAUAUACACUCACCGGCCUCUUUAUUAGGUACACCUGUUCAAUUGCUUGGUAACAGGAAUCACAAAUUGCUAAUCAGCCAAUCACAUGGCAGCAACUGAUGUGGUGAAGAGGACUUGCUGAAGUUCAAACCGAGCAUCAGAAUGGGGAAGAAAGGGGAUUUAAGUGACUUUGAACGUGGAAUGGUUGUUGGUGCCAGACGGGCUGGUCUGAGUAUUUAAAAAACUGCUGAUCUACUGGGAUUUUGACGCACAACCAUCUCUAGGGUUUACAGAGAAUAGUCCAAAAAAGAGAAAAUAUCCAGUGAGUGGCAGUUGUGUGGACGAAAAUGCCUGAUUUCAGAGGUCAGAGGAGAAUGAGCAGACUGGUUAGAGAUGAUAGAAAGGCAACAGUAAUUUAAAUAACCACUCGUUACAACCAAGGUAUGCAAGGUAUGAACGCACAACAUGUCGAACCCUGAAGCAGAUGGGCUACAGCAGCAGAAGAUCACACCGGA